GCCAAGUUCUCCACCUUUGCAAAUAAGAUAAGAGCACAACUGCAAGAACUCUCCCAGCACUGCGGUAAUGUUUAACCAGAUAAUUAUUCUCUUAGCAGCAGGAAAAGUAAAUGGGCACAAUUUUUUUCAGCCCUGUCAUUUCAAUACUUCAUAUUCAUGUGACAGGACAACAAAAUGGAAGAGACAUUGGAGAAAGAGAUCGCGCCAUUUGAAGUAAAAGAUUCUAAUGAAGGUGGAAUUCGGCUGCGAUUGAGAGACAGAGACCUGUUGAAGAAACGAAAGGCUGAGGCAGAGGAAAAGGCAACCAACCAGUGGGUUUAUGGGGCACAAAGCCUUAAAAGAGUGAAAAAGAAGACCAGUGGUACCCCAGGAAGGAAAGGUCGACCAAGAAAAGAACCGCCUGUAGUUAUUCCAGAAGAUCUCGGUCUGGCUCAGGAAACAGAUCCUUCUCCUGACACACUUCCUAUCACAGAACCUGUAUUACCCACAAUAGCAGAGACACUGCCUUUAUUACCAGCUGAGCCACAACCAGAGCCGGCGCCGGCGCAAGUGGAAACAAUGAGUGAAAAACCUCUGGAGGAGUUUCUGAUUGAGGAUCUGGGGCCUGAUGAGGAGGAAGACAUGCCUCAAAAAAGCUUUAUCAUUGAUACAGGUGAUGACGAGCUGCCAUGUGCUGACCUGAACAGUCAAGUCUCAAUGGCAGUGUAUCCUCCAGCAUCUGCUCCUUCUCAACCUGAGAGUCUAUCUGAGAAUUUAAUCAUCUGAGUGUCACCCUUCUACAGAAAAAUGAAUUUAAUCUAAUUUACUAUUUCAAAGGAUUUCUAAACUGAAACAAGGACAAAUCUAUAUUUAUUAAAAUUCUUCAUGUCUCCAUGUAUAUAUACCACUUAUCAGUACUCUGUCAAACAAAAUCCAUUCUAUACAUAUUAUAAAAUAUAUAAUAAAAUAAAAACCGGAAAUUGUUACAGUAUAGUACUUUUGUGUUCUAUGAUUUUAAAGCAACUAGAUCUUUGCCUUAAGCCUAUAUUACGAAUAAUCUUUGUUUAGUUUGUACAACGGACUAUUUUAAAAUAAAGUGGUUUUAUACUUUGUCUUUGUCUAGUCAUUUCGUCACUGAAUUCUAAAACCAUCACGCUCCUAUGGGAAUCAAUUUUAGUAUGCUAAAGGUGCACCACUGACAGCUAACGGUUGAAAUGGGUACUGCAGUCCAAAUUCAAAAUACAGGAGAGUUGUUUUUCCUCCUCAGACUCGACGCUCACGCGGGUUGCUAGAUUGAGGACAGGAACCAGUGCAAAUAUCAAAGGAAGGAAACAAGCCUUACACGCUGCGGUGCUGGGUAGAUUACUUACAAUUACAAAUUGUAGUCCGUUACUGAUUACAUGAUGAAAACUGCAGUUAGUAACGGAAUCUAGGUUACUAAUUUUAGGUAAAGUAUUCCGACUACUUCUUAGAUUACUUUUAGA
rnacentral:lncRNA from 1 species